rnacentral:rRNA from 1 species
GACGAACUAUCCUACCGUUGUUCGGAAUCACUGGGCUUAAAGGGCGCGUAGGCGGUCCGACAAGUCAGGGGUGAAAUCCUGCAGCUUAACUGCAGAAGUGCCUUUGAUACUGUCGGUCUUGAGGGAGAUAGGGGUGUGCGGAACUCACAGUGGAGCGGUGAAAUGCGUUGAUAUUGUGAGGAACGCCGGAGGCGAAAGCGGCGCACUGGAUCUCUUCUGACGCUGAGGCGCGAAAGCCAGGGGAGCAAACGGG